GUCUCGGCGGCGGCCACGCGGUGCAGGACGGGCAGCCACACCAUGGACUGGGGCUCCAGGCGCAUCCAGUCCAGGAACAUGGCCGCCUCCAGCUCCGGCUUGUUGUUGGCCUGAGAACACAAGAGUUACACGAACACGAUUCCAUAAUCCCAACGAGUAGGCGUUUGCUUUGAUACGCCCACAGAGGAGUUCAGUUCACUUUAAUCCCGCGCUCGCUGUCCCGCUGCCCCAGAUUCUCACUACGGCAAGAACAAACGCACUAUUGUCUCCCGUUUUAACACUAGCAGAAAAAAAUAUUAGCUUCAUGCUUCACUUUCCCAUCUCUCUCACAUGGUGUGUGUGUAUGUGUGUGUGAGGGUGUGUACAUGUGUGUUUGUGUAGUGAAAUACCGAACUUGUGGGGGCGUUGAGAGGUUUGUUUAUGCUUCCUAAUCCCAGUAAAUUAGAACAAAAGCUUUCUGUCUGUGACGGGCGUCUGCACCAUCAUUUAUAUAUUGUAUGUACUAUAUUGUGAUGAUUGUUUUUGAGCCACGUCUCCGCAGCCGUGACAGAUGAUUUGUUUGUCUCCCACAGUGUUUCACUGUCAAACACUUUAUCCAUGUUUCGUCCUUUUCUUCAUCUCCAGCUCCGCUCUUAGUGACGGUCCAGUUUCUUCCUGUCAAUAAACCUGAUUUAGUCUGAAGUAAACAAACACUCUGCUCGGUGCGGGAAUCUGUGGAGGCCCGCAGGCAUUAGUGGGAACAGACCUCUGUGCAAGUGCAGCAUACGACGGUGUUGUGUACGUUCAUUAUUUUCUUUCCAUGUCAAGAGUGAGAAAUAAGUGAGAGUGAGUGUUUGUGUUUGCGACGCACAAACUGGAAGCAGCUGCGGACGGACGGCUCGAUGUUGGAGCCGCCGAAGGAGGCGACCUCGCCGAGCUGCCGGGGGAUCUGGAUGGAGUCGUGCAGGAGGAGGCCCAGGCGCCGCUGGUCACAGAACCCGGUGGCGCUGGCGACCUGUCGGAACAAGACUGGAGGAGGGAGGGAGGAACGGACGGAGAGACACGUGGCACAUGGCGAGUUACGGAUGAGGCAAACAUUUUAUAAGAAUGGUCGGAACAAGAGAAAAGUGAGGACUCACAUCUGUAUUUAUCCUCCAGAUGAGCCUUGCAGAGGGAGACCACUCCAGUUUUGAACGACAGAGUCCGGAUCUUUCCGGUGCGACCACUAAACACACCACAAAUAAACGUGUUACACCUCA